AUAUAAAACACUUAAAAAAGCUAUCAAAUUUUUUGAAAUUUUCGGGUUAACACAAUAGAGCACUAUCAGCAAUACAUUUGGGGAUUUAUUCAAAAUCACAACAUUUAGGGCUGGUAGAGAGGUGAACGGCGGCUGUAGGUGAACGGCAGUGACGGUGGUGAACGGCGUCGACGGCAGGUGGGUUCUCGGCUUCAGCAGUCUCGCCGGUGGCGUGCUUCUUGGCGUGGGGUGCUGGUUGCUCACGGUUCCGUCUCUCGGCGUGCUUCGGUGAUUUCCAGUGUUUGUGAAUGGGAAGUUUUGCAAGGAUCCAAAGGAAGUCAAUGCGGAUGAUUUCUUUACUUCAGGGCUCAACAUUGCAGGAAACACUGAUAAUCCAGUUGGUUCCAAAGUAAUAGCUGUUGAUACAAGUGUGACUUGUAAAAGAAUAUACAAGUUAAUAUUUUGAUUGGUUUUAAAGCAUUGGAUUGGUAGCUAAUUGCAAGAGGCGCAAUAUGGACAAAGAAUGGAUGUCAGCUGAUAGGUUGUCAGUAGAAUAUAUAAAAGGGGUCGAUGAGUUUCUUAAAUUUAGUUUGGAUCAUGCCAAAGAUCCAAACUAUAUUUGUUAUCCUUGUAGUAAAUGUGGAAAUAUGAAAAAGAUGACUGCCAUAAUAAUAAAAGAGCACUUAUAUUUCCAUGGGAUAGACAAAAGUUAUAAAAUAUGGUAUUGGCAUGGUGAAGA